CACGCAGUAAACGAUGAUUACUGGCUGUUUGCGAUACAAUGUAAGCGGCUGAGCGAAAGCGUUAAGUAAUCCACCUGGGGAGUACGUUCGCAAGAAUGAAACUCAAAGGAAUUGACGGGGGCCCGCACAAGCGGAGGAACAUGUGGUUUAAUUCGAUGAUACGCGAGGAACCUUACCCGGGCUUGAAAUGCAUCUGACAGGCAAAGAGAUUUGCCCUUUCUUCGGAACAGAUGUGUAGGUGC
rnacentral:rRNA from 1 species